AUGUGUGUACCCAAGAACCAAGGAGGAAUGGGUUUUCGGGAUAUCCAUUGUUUCAAUUUGGCUAUGCUGGCUAAACAGGCUUGGCGUCUUCUCGAGAAUCUGGAUUCUCUAGCUACUAUUUUAAGAGUCAAAUACUAUCCUGACGGUGACUUGUUGAACACUGACCUGAAGAAGGGAUCUUCCUUCACCUGGCAAAGUAUUAUGGCGGGUGUGAGCUCCCUGAAGCGUGGUCAUAUUUGGCGAGUGGGAAACGGGCAGAAUAUUGACAUUUGGGAGGACGCAUGGAUUCCAAAUUGUGCAAACCGUAAAAUUGUUACCCCUAAGAGAGGCCAGUUGUUACGGAAGGUAGCAGAUUUGAUUGAUCCAAUCCUAAAUAGUUGGGAUGAAGAUCUUCUCACACAGACUCUAUGGCCUAUUGAUGUUCAGCGAGUGCUUACGAUCCCGAUAUCGCAACAUGAUAUGCCAGAUUUCAUAGCUUGGAAUUCACAAAAAAAUGGGAUUUUUUCAGUUCGCUCU
rnacentral:rRNA from 1 species